rfam:Micavibrio aeruginosavorus ARL-13, complete genome.
UAAGCGGGCCGGGCCCCUCUGGCGGCAGACCAUAAUAUGUCAGGUUUGCCGUGAUGUCGGACCGCAUCG